GGCCCCUUAGCUCAGAUGGAUAGAGCAGGGCGCUUCUAACGCCAAGGUCGCUGGUUCGAGUCCAGCAGGGGCUG
rnacentral:tRNA from 1 species